CGGAGCGGGUGCUGGAAAGGACGUCCACGCGCGCUGGAGACGGUGGCCAGCGAUGCUGCAACCGGCCACGGCGACAGCAACCGCUAUCCCAAUUUGAUGCGAUGAGCAACGACCGGCGUCCCAAUUUGCUGCCAUAGCGAGAAAAAACUUGUGAGGAUGGCGACAGCAAUUUUUCUUUUUUGCUGGAACCAGCUCCCUAUUUUGCUGGAAACGGCAUCGCAGGGUGCUGGGACGGGCGAACUCGUGUUUUGCUACAGUCAAUCACUGGAAGUUCUUCCUCAUGAGUCGUUUUGCUGGAACCGGUGUUCAGUUUUGUUGGAACCGGGUAAUUUUUUGCUACAAUCAUCGAUGGAGUUCUUGAUGAA